AGACCCGAAACCCGGUGAUCUAGCCAUGGGCAGGUUGAAGGUUGGGUAACACUAACUGGAGGACCGAACCGACUAAUGUUGAAAAAUUAGCGGAUGACCUGUGGCUGGGGGUGAAAGGCCAAUCAAACCGGGAGAUAGCUGGUUCUCCCCGAAAGCUAUUUAGGUAGCGCCUCGUGAAUUCAUCUCCGGGGGUAGAGCACUGUUUCGGCUAGGGGGCCAUCCCGGCUUACCAACCCGAUGCAAACUGCGAAUACCGGAGAAUGUUAUCACGGGAGACACACGGCGGGUGCUAACGUCCGUCGUGAAGAGGGAAACAACCCAGACCGCCAGCUAAGGUCCCAAAGUCAUGGUUAAGUGGGAAACGAUGUGGGAAGGCCCAGACAGCCAGGAUGUUGGCUUAGAAGCAGCCAUCAUUUAAAGAAAGCGUAAUAGCUCACUGGUCGAGUCGGCCUGCGCGGAAGAUGUAACGGGGCUAAACCAUGCACCGAAGCUGCGGCAGCGACACUGUGUGUUGUUGGGUAGGGGAGCGUUCUGUAAGCCUGUGAAGGUGUGUCGUGAGGCAUGCUGGAGGUAUCAGAAG
rnacentral:rRNA from 4 species